rnacentral:rRNA from 1 species
CAGCAGCCGCGGUAAUACCGGCGGCCCGAGUGGCGGUCACUAUUAUUGGGCUUAAAACGUCCGUAGCCGGGUUGGGAAGUCCUCCGGGAAAUCUGGCCGCUUAACGGUCAGAAUGCCGGAGGAUACUCCCAGCCUAGGGAGCGGGAGAGGCCGAGGGGAUUCCCGGAGUAGGGGGGAAAUCCUAUAAUCCCGGGAGGACCACCUGUGGCGAAGGCGCUCGGCUGGAACGCGUCCGACGGUGAGGGACGAAGGCCAGGGGAGCAAACCGGAUUAGAUACCCGGGUAGUCCUGGCUGUAAACGAUGCGGACUUUGUGUCGGACAAGCUAUGAGCUUGUCCGGUGCCGGAGGGAAACCGUUAAGUCCGCCGCCUGGGGAGUACGGCCGCAAGGCUGAAACUUAAAGGAAUUGGCGGG